rnacentral:lncRNA from 1 species
CCUCAGACUGUGCCUAUAAUUAAUCGAUAACCUUGCUUCCUAACCAUCCCGUGUGCUACUGCUCUUUGCUCAAUCGUCUUUCGCUUAAUUUACUCAUAACUUAAUAGCAGUACAAUGAACACCCUAUCACCUCAUUCCACAACUGGAACACUGGCAAUUUGUUCAGUAUUUGUAGGUGCUCCCUCCCCACCAAUGAAAAAGCCUAGAUCUUUAUCAAUAGAGAAAUCUUCUUAAAAUACGGUGCACAAUAGAGUAGAAUAUUAAGCAACUGUGAAA